rnacentral:lncRNA from 1 species
ACCGGUACCGUGCGCUCUUCCAGGAUCUGCUGACAGGCCAGGGCCCAUCUUAGCACCCGAAGGGCAAGCACACCUCACUGCUGUGGGCACCGUGUCUCUGGGUUUGGGGAGCAGCCACCAUCCUCCCAAGAUGCUAGUGUGGGCAUCCUGGGAACUGCUGACCUGAGCGCCUCUGAUGCAGACGUGACCCGACGGGGAGCCCCGCAGCCUGCCGCCGACACGCGGCCGCACUCCGUCCU